AGGUAUAGUAGGUAUCCUGCAAAGGCGUCUUGUUGGCCGCCUGGCUGAUCAAUACCUAUCCAACCAGCGACCCUCUGCCCGCACCCUAUGCCCACGGGGCCGUGGACCGUGCCUACAUCUCUAACCACCCCUGAACUCGCCACCGCUACCACCACCACCAACGUCGCCACCACCAUCAACCUUCUGCCACCACUACCACUCGUCACGACUACCACCCCCGCUAUUCAGAAGAGCGGUAGUAAUGGCAGCAGUGGCAGGAACGGCAGCACCCUUGCUCCUACUCUCUGGCCCCUACCGACACGCGUUGACCCCUACGCAAUUUACAUCGCGGCCUCCAUAAAGUUAAUUGAAAUUUCCGCCCGCCACAGCCGAACCAGUCGACGCCGCUGCUGUAAAGAGAGCUCUUCUGUCAGGUCGUCGCGUGUCUUACGAGGUCGCGUUGUUUUGCUCGAUUUUCGGGAGACAGGGUUGGGACGAUCAAGGUAGAGAGAAUUAUAAGGGCGUGUUACGAGGGAGUAAUGACGAUUCUUCCGUUAUGGUUUGCUUAUGGUGUAAUGCAUGGGAAUUUAUAAAUUAAAAUAUUGAACGUUUGAAGAAUUUCAAUUAUUUCGAAUAGACGGAAAUUGUUAAUGAUUAAAUUUGUCGAUUAUUAAUAUUUCGUAAGAGUUGUGGAGAACGGGAGAACCAUUUGACCCAAUUGAAUUCGCAUUUUAUUUUCAGUAUCAGAUCUAUAAUAUAUGCUGGUAACUUAUAGCACAAAAUGAUUUAUUGAUCGUUAUAAUUAUGAUUUUACUUAUAAAAUAUUAUUGUUAUAUUGUUAUUAAAUUUCAAGAAAAUUGUAUGAUCAAUUAAAUUCAUUUUUAUAAUAUUAACAAAAUAAAAAUUACGAAAAUUGUGAAAGAAGUAAUUGAUAUAAUUCGCUCAAUGUUUAUUUUUCAAAUCCAUAAGAAAUGCUUUCUUCUAUCAUUAUUCUUUUAUUUUUUCACAAAAAUAAAAAUGUAAAAAUAAAAAAUAAAAAAUAAAAUUUUUCAUUUCUCUAUAAUUUAAUCUUUAAA